UACGGGGGGGGCAAGCGUUGUUCGGAAUUACUGGGCGUAAAGGGCUCGUAGGCGGCCGGCCAAGUCGGACGUGAAAUCCCUCGGCUCAACUGAGGAACUGCGUCCGAUACUGGUCGGCUCGAAGCCGGGAGAGGGAUGCGGAAUUCCAGGUGUAGCGGUGAAAUGCGUAGAUAUCUGGAGGAACACCGGUGGCGAAGGCGGCAUCCUGGACCGGUCUUGACGCUGAGGAGCGAAAGCCAGGGGAGCAAACGGG
rnacentral:misc_RNA from 1 species